GAUGAACGCUAGCGGCAGGCUUAAUACAUGCAAGUCGAACGGUAACAGGCCCGGCAACGGGUGCUGACGAGUGGCGCACGGGUGCGUAACACGUAUGCAACCUACCCUUAACCGGGACAUAACACUGAGAAAUUAGUGCUAAUAUUCCAUGGUAUUACGAAGAGGCAUCUUUUUGUAAUUAAAGAUUUAUUGGUUAGGGAUGGGCAUGCGUCCCAUUAGUUAGUUGGAGUGGUAACGGCACACCAAGACGAUGAUGGGUAGGGGUCCUGAGAGGGUUAUCCCCCACACUGGUACUGAGACACGGACCAGACUCCUACGGGAGGCAGCAGUAAGGAAUAUUGGGCAAUGGGCGGGAGCCUGACCCAGCCAUGCCGCGUGCAGGAAGACGGCCCUAUGGGUUGUAAACUGCUUUUGUUUGGGACUAACAGCCGGGUCGUGACCCGGCCUGCAGGUACCGAAUGAAUAAGCAUCGGCUAACUCCGUGCCAGCAGCCGCCGUAACAC
rnacentral:rRNA from 1 species